UACGGGGGGGGCAAGCGUUGUUCGGAAUUACUGGGCGUAAAGGGUUUGUAGGUGGCCAACUAAGUCAGACGUGAAAUCCCUCGGCUUAACCGGGGAACUGCGUCUGAUACUGGAUGGCUUGAGAUUGGGAGAGGGAUGCGGAAUUCCAGGUGUAGCGGUGAAAUGCGUAGAUAUCUGGAGGAACACCGGUGGCGAAGGCGGCAUCCUGGACCGGCAUUGACGCUGAGGCGCGAAAGCCAGGGGAGCAAACGGG
rnacentral:rRNA from 1 species